UAGGUGUGCGCUUUGUCUUUGGUUAGGGA
rnacentral:piRNA from 1 species